AGGAUUCUCAGUGGUCUCAUGCCUCUCUGUCAGGAUUCUCCCAAUUUGAAAGAGGAAACGAGUCCCUAAGACCGCUCUUUGGAAUUCCAAUAUAGAUGAAGAUAGAAGUGAAAUUUGAGGGCCAACAAAUAUGUUGUAUCGUGGAUAUCUCCCUUUACAUCAUUGUUUUAUGAAAUGCACUAACGCUCC